rnacentral:piRNA from 1 species
UUAGUCUGCAAGUUAUAGGAUGUACUGAGA